rnacentral:ncRNA from 2 species
UUAUCUUUGCCGGACUUUGGUUUCCGAAUGUUUUUAUUCGGGAUUAAAAGGGAACGGAGUGCAAUUCUCCGACUGUCCCCGCAACUGUAAAUCGCAAUCCAAUAUUUUGCAAUCUUGCCAUUGCCCGCCAAAAAUCGAGUGAGAAGGCGCAAAAUCAGCGAAAGUCAGGAGACCUGCCAAGGAUAAUUUUUAAUA